GGUCCUGGAGAAGAAAAGUGGCUGGCUUAAGGUCCUACAGCUUAAUGGUACAACUAAGGCCAUAAUCCAAAGCUUUUCAUAUUCCAAGUCUACUUCUCUGGAGUGGAUGUGGGUAGGCAGAGAGAAGGCAGGAAAGAUUCCAUGGGAAGGAGCAUCCAUAACAAAAUUGAAGAAUGAGCACAGAAAAUUAAGAAAGAAAUCCACCCAUAUUAUGAAGAAUAAAACAGGGGCAAAAAUAUUCCAAAGCCAAAGAGUAGUGCUCCACACCUUUGGUCCUCUGCCUCUGCAAAGAAGGCUCCUUCAGUAAAGCCAGGCAAUAAAGAGAACUCUCAGUAGAAUUGUACCAUAUGUGGACCUGCUCUUGUGAUAUUUAAUUUAUGAUCAGCCAUCACAGAAAUGGCAACCCAAUAUGACACCAUGCUGGUUUAGGCUACUUGCUGAUGACUACAACAACGAGGAAACAUGGGGAGGAGACAGGAAGAAUAACACUACGAAAGCUAUCAUGCAUCAUAAGAAGAAUACAAAUACAGCUCUCCUUUCCUCAAGAAAUGGAGUUGGACCUGUGAUUUUAUUGCUCCUGAGAACUCCUGGAGGAGGAAACUCCUUCUCCUAAUGCCAGUGAACGUGGCAACUUAUAUUCUUAAAGAAUUUUCCUAGAACACUGAUAUGUUAAGCAAUUUACUCAGGGUCACACUACCAGCAUAUGUCAGAGGCAGAAUUGAAACCCAAGUUUUCCUACUUCUGAGGCCAGCUCUCUAGACCAGUAAUGUCAAACUCAAACAGAUACAAAGGCCAAUAAACCACUUAAGGAU